rnacentral:rRNA from 1 species
UACGGGGGGGGCAAGCGUUGUUCGGAAUUACUGAGCGUAAAGGGCGCGUAGGCGGUUUGCUAAGUUGGAUGUGAAAACUCUGAACUUAACCCAGAGCCUACAUCCAAAACUGGCAAACUUGAGUACUAGAAAAGAAAGCGGAAUUCCUGGUAUAGCGGUGAAAUGCGUAGAUAUCAAAAAGAACACCAAUGGCGAAGGCGACUUUCUGGACAGUAACUGACGCUGAGGCGCGAAAGCUAGGAGAGCAAACAGG